AAGAGAGAGAAUUUAGAACCUCAUUAAUGUUUCUUAAAUUUCUUAAUUAUAUUUUUCUCUUUCUCCAAGAAACCUCCAGUGUGAUAAGGUAACCAAAAUUAUAAUCAUUAUAAUUUUUUGUUGUAAAUAUGUUCAUUAACUAAUGCUGCUUAUCAUCUGCAACUUGUUCUUGCAAUGUGUGGGCUUGUUAAUCACUGUUGUGUUUUUAGUGCUUUCACUGUGUUUUAACUCACUCUGGUGGUAGAUGACUGGCAUUCGUUUUCUGGCACCAAGGAAAGUUGUGGUUUUCUGAGGAAUGCUACAUAAAAGACUAGCCAAAAUGACACGCCCUGUACAUUUCAGUGGUGGGGGUAUUUUCUCUUGUGGCAUACGUGCAAAUUUUACAGUGAGGUAUCACAGUGUGCCAGAAAUUGUGCAUGGAGCGAAGUUGUUGUCCUUGGUAACACAUUCACUAUUAGAAAAAUAGCAAAUAUCUCACCAUGGCAUAUUUGUGCACUGCGGUGUGGCAAAAGAGAAGGGUGGAAUAUACACAGGAACUUGCAAGGGUUUCUUUUUUAAAAAUGCAUUUUAUAAAUGCAUCUGACUGAGGAUGCAAUUCACCCAAGGCUGCAAUUGUAACCGUAUCGGCCUUCUUCUUUGCUGAAUUAGUCUUUAAAGGGCAGGUAAGCUUCUCCCUUUUAAACUAGAUAGUUAGGGAAUAGCAGUUCAUUUUAAAUAGCUAUUUCAAUUUCUUAAAUAGCUAAGGGGAUACUUUUUGUGGAUAAAUAUCUGUAUCUCAAAUGCCAUUUAAGAAAAUACAUGAUUUGGAUGUUGGCUUGAAAUUGCAUUGAAGGAAAGAAACUCUGUCUUACCCAAGUUUCCUGUGUAUUGGUUGCAGCAUUAUAAAGAAAAAUCAAGACAGAAAAAAGAGAAACUCAACUAAGUGAAAACAAAACUGGAAAAAAAAACACUUCUGGAUUGACACGCAAGAGAAUAUAAAAUAAGCAAGCAGCAAACCCACUGUUGUAGCAAGUCCUGUAAAGAGGGACAUUUGUAUCCCUGCUAAAAAAAAUUUAAGGAAUGAGCUUCCAAUCUGAAUAGGUCAAGAAAUGGGACAGCAUGAAUGUCAUUUAUUAAAUUCCUACAAUGAAUUCACAGUUUGUACCAAUGCUCACAAUUAACCCUUAAAUCUGGGUUUAGGGGCUGUUGGCUUUCUGCAAUAAGUUCUUGGAAAAAAAAGUUUUACUGUACUGUACACAUAUUAAUUCCCCUUUUCCUCUCACAUACUUUGGCUAAGUCAGCAUUAAAGAUGCAAAUCUAUGGUUUGCUGUGAGGGUCUGCAUCUUAAGCAUUCACUAACGAUGCCAAGGAUAUUAGAUGAAGUUCAACACCUCACUCUUAUUCUGAGGCGAAACCGCACGUAAUGCUGGACUUCUCAAACUGUAAGUCAGCACUACUUUGGGGUCAUCGGCAACUCAGAAAGAGAAUCACCAUUUUU